UACAUCCUGCAAUGUACGCCUCGAUUUCUCGUUGUUUUGAACCAAUGAUGAUGUCUCGGGAGAUUCAUAUCUAAUUGUUGCUGACCGGCCCUAUCCAUUGGAUGUGGGGACUUCAAAUACAAUUGUGCGAUCACCCACCUGCUUAGCAGGUUCGAAGACAAUGUUAUCGGACGGCAUAUGCGGGACUUAU
rnacentral:other from 1 species